rnacentral:rRNA from 1 species
GCUUGCUUCUCUUGAGAGCGGCGGACGGGUGAGUAAUGCCUAGGAAUCUGCCUGGUAGUGGGGGAUAACGUUCGGAAACGGACGCUAAUACCGCAUACGUCCUACGGGAGAAAGCAGGGGACCUUCGGGCCUUGCGCUAUCAGAUGAGCCUAGGUCGGAUUAGCUAGUUGGUGGGGUAAUGGCUCACCAAGGCGACGAUCCGUAACUGGUCUGAGAGGAUGAUCAGUCACACUGGAACUGAGACACGGUCCAGACUCCUACGGGAGGCAGCAGUGGGGAAUAUUGGACAAUGGGCGAAAGCCUGAUCCAGCCAUGCCGCGUGUGUGAAGAAGGUCUUCGGAUUGUAAAGCACUUUAAGUUGGGAGGAAGGGUUGUAGAUUAAUACUCUGCAAUUUUGACGUUACCGACAGAAUAAGCACCGGCUAACUCUGUGCCAGCAGCCGCGGUAAUACAGAGGGUGCAAGCGUUAAUCGGAAUUACUGGGCGUAAAGCGCGCGUAGGUGGUUUGUUAAGUUGGAUGUGAAAUCCCCGGGCUCAACCUGGGAACUGCAUUCAAAACUGACUGACUAGAGUAUGGUAGAGGGUGGUGGAAUUUCCUGUGUAGCGGUGAAAUGCGUA